rnacentral:rRNA from 1 species
UAUUGGUCAGUGGACGCAAGUCUGAACCAGCCAUGCCGCGUGCAGGAAGACGGCUCUAUGAGUUGUAAACUGCUUUUGUAUUAGGGUAAACUCAGGUACGUGUACCUGACUGAAAGUAUAAUACGAAUAAGGAUCGGCUACCUCCGUGCCCGCAGCCGCGGUAAUACGGAGGAUCCAAGCGUUAUCCGGAUUUAUUGGGUUUAAAGGGUGCUUAGACGGUUUGAUAAGUUAGAGGUGGAAUACCGGGGCUUAACUCCGGAACUGCCUCUAAUACUGUUGAACUAGAGAGUAGUUGCGGUAGGCGGAAUGUAUGGUGUAGCGGUGAAAUGCUUAGAGAUCAUACAGAACACCGAUUGCGAAGGCAGCUUACCAAACUAUAUCUGACGUUGAGGCACGAAAGCGUGGGGAGCAAACAGGA